rnacentral:rRNA from 1 species
AUGAACGCUGGCGGCGUGCCUAAUACAUGCCAGUCGAGCGAACAGACGAGGAGCUUGCUCCUCUGACGUUAGCGGCGGACGGGUGAGUAACACGUAGAUAACCUACCUAUAAGACUGGGAUAACUUCGGGAAACCGGAGCUAAUACCGGAUAAUAUAUUGAACCGCAUGGUUCAAUAGUGAAAGACGGUUUUGCUGUCACUUAUAGAUGGAUCCGCGCCGCAUUAGCUAGUUGGUAAGGUAACGGCUUACCAAGGCAACGAUGCGUAGCCGACCUGAGAGGGUGAUCGGCCACACUGGAACUGAGACACGGUCCAGACUCCUACGGGAGGCAGCAGUAGGGAAUCUUCCGCAAUGGGCGAAAGCCUGACGGAGCAACGCCGCGUGAGUGAUGAAGGUCUUCGGAUCGUAAAACUCUGUUAUUAGGGAAGAACAAAUGUGUAAGUAACUAUGCACGUCUUGACGGUACCUAAUCAGAAAGCCACGGCUAACUACGUG